UACGAAGGGCGCGGGUGUUAUUCGUUUUGAUUGGGCGUAAAGCGCACGUAGGUGGCCUGUUAAGUCGGGUGUGAAAUCCCUGGGCUCAACCCAGGAAGUGCACUCGAAACUGGCAGGCUUGAGUACUGAAGAGGGUCGCGGAAUUCCCGGUGUAGAGGUGAAAUUCGUAGAUAUCGGGAGGAACACCAGUGGCGAAGGCGGCGACCUGGGCAGAUACUGACGCUGAGGUGCGAAAGCGUGGGGAGCAAACAGG
rnacentral:rRNA from 1 species